rnacentral:rRNA from 1 species
CGCGUAGGCGGUUUGCUAAGUUGGAUGUGAAAACCUCUGGGCUUAACCCAGAGCCUGCAUCCAAAACUGGCAAACUUGAGUACUGGAGGGGAAAGCGGAAUUCCUGGUGUAGCGGUGAAAUGCGUAGAUAUCAGGAGGAACACCGGUGGCGAAGGCGGCUUUCUGGACAGUAACUGACGCUGAGGCGCGAAAGCUAGGGGAAGCAAACA